GAUGAACGCUGGCGGCGUGCCUAAUACAUGCAAGUCGAGCGAACGGACGAGAAGCUUGCUUCUCUGAUGUUAGCGGCGGACGGGUGAGUAACACGUGGAUAACCUACCUAUAAGACUGGGAUAACUUCGGGAAACCGGAGCUAAUACCGGAUAAUAUUUUGAACCGCAUGGUUCAAAAGUGAAAGACGGUCUUGCUGUCACUUAUAGAUGGAUCCGGGCUGCAUUAGCUAGUUGGUAAGGUAACGGCUUACCAAGGCAACGAUGCAUAGCCGACCUGAGAGGGUGAUCGGCCACACUGGAACUGAGCCACGGUCAAGACUCCUACGGGAGGCAGCAGUAGGGAAUCUUCCGCAAUGGGCGAAAGCCUGACGGAGCAACGCCGCGUGAGUGAUGAAGGUCUUCGGAUCGUAAAACUCUGUUAUUAGGGAAGAACAUAUGUGUAAGUAACUGUGCCCAUCUUGACGGUACCUAAUCAGAAAGCCACGGCUAACUACGUG
rnacentral:rRNA from 1 species